GAUGAACGCUGGCGGCGUGCCUAAUACAUGCAAGUAGAACGCUAAAGGAAGGAGCUUGCUCUUUCCGGAUGAGUUGCGAACGGGUGAGUAACGCGUAGGUCACCUUCCUGGUAUCGGGGGAUAACUAUUGGAAACGAUAGCUAAUACCACAUAACAGUAGAUGUUGCAUGAUGUCUACUUAAAUGGUGCAAUUGCCCCACUACCAGAUGGAUCUGCGUUGUGUUAGGUAGGUGGUGAGGUAACGGCUCACCCAGGCGACGAUACAUAGCCGACCUGAGAGGGAGGACCGCCAAAAUGGGAAUGGGACACGGCCCAGAAUCCCACGGGGGGGAGCAGUAGGGAAUUAUCGGAAAUGGAGGGAAGGCCGACCGAACAAAGACGGGUGAGUGAAGGAGGGUUUCGGGUCGUAAAGGUCUGUUGUAAGGGAAGAACGAGUGGGAGGGUGGAAAGUUCACGCUGUGACGGUACCUUAAGAGAAAGGAACGGCUAACUACGUG
rnacentral:rRNA from 1 species